rnacentral:rRNA from 1 species
GACGAACGCUGGCGGCGUGCUUAACACAUGCAAGUCGAACGGCAAGGCCCUGCUUUUGUGGGGUGCUCGAGUGGCGAACGGGUGAGUAACACGUGAGUAACCUGCCCUUGACUUUGGGAUAACUUCAGGAAACUGGGGCUAAUCCCGGAUAGGAGCUCCUGCUGCAUGGUGGGGGUUGGAAAGUUUCGGCGGUUGGGGAUGGACUCGCGGCUUAUCAGCUUGUUGGUGGGGUAGUGGCUUACCAAGGCUUUGACGGGUAGCCGGCCUGGGAGGGUGACCGGCCACAUUGGGACUGAGAUACGGCCCAGACUCCUACGGGAGGCAGCAGUGGGGAACAUGGCACAAUGGGCGGAAGCCUGAUGCAGCAACGCCGCGGGCGGGAUGACGGCCUUCGGGUUGUAAACCGCUUUCGCCUGUGACGAAGCGUGAGUGACGGUAAUGGGUAAAGAAGCACCGGCUAACUACGUG